rnacentral:rRNA from 1 species
UACGGGGGGAGCAAGCGUUGUUCGGAUUUACUGGGCGUAAAGGGCGCGUAGGCGGCGCAACAAGUCACUUGUGAAAUCUCCGGGCUUAACCCGGAGCGGCCAAGUGAUACUGUCGUGCUAGAGUGCGGAAGGGGCUACUGGAAUUCCUGGUGUAGCGGUGAAAUGCGCAGAUAUCAGGAGGAACACCGGUGGCGAAGGCGGUUCUCUGGGCAUGACCUGACGCUGAGGAGCGAAAGUGUGGGGAGCGAACAGG